rnacentral:rRNA from 1 species
CAGCCGCCGCGGUAAUACGUAGGGUGCAAGCGUUAAUCGGAAUUACUGGGCGUAAAGCGUGCGCAGGCGGUUAUGCAAGACAGAUGUGAAAUCCCCGGGCUCAACCUGGGAACUGCAUUUGUGACUGCAUGACUAGAGUACGGCAGAGGGGGAUGGAAUUCCGCGUGUAGCAGUGAAAUGCGUAGAUAUGCGGAGGAACACCGAUGGCGAAGGCAAUCCCCUGGGCCUGCACUGACGCUCAUGCACGAAAGCGUGGGGAGCAAACAGGAUUAGAUACCCGCGUAGUCCCUGUCUCUUAUAC